CAGAGAGACUGGGACUGGGCCUGGGGGUCAGGAUCACCCUGGGAGUGCUGCUAGUGACCCAGACAGCGUCAGUCGCCAGGCUCUGCUAGAUCAGCACCAUCUAGAGGCGUACAGAAACAUGCACCGUCUCAGAGACAUCCUGUACCAUCGAUACUCUGCCAUGCUCAGAGAUAAGAUACACACACAGAGACAGGAGAUACAACGACGUGCUGAGGCAGCUGGAACAGUCACCGAGGAUAAACACCUACCGAAACUGAGGAAGCUGACCUGUUCUACUCUCUCCCAUGACAACACAUACCUGAGGUCUCUUCCUCAAACCAGCUACUACCUGAUCUUGGGCCUUCAGAACCAGUUGUCUCGGCAUGGUUGUCUGAAGACCAUCCAGGACCAUGAGGACUUCUGUUUCACGGUUAACCACCACAACCACAACCGUGGUCCAGUCCAGCUGCAGAGAACACUACAGGAGAUCAGGAAGAGGAUGAUUGGCAGCCGCUCCACAUCUGAUGUGAUGUCAGCGGGAUGGGGUUGGAGCCAGCAGGAGAUGUUAGUACAGCCCCCUAGAAUUCACGUCACCACCGCGGAGAGAAGACACCUGGACCGGAUUGUCCCUUCAGAGACAGGGAAAAGGCUUAUGCCGGGAGAGAGACUUCCAGAAAGAGGGACUGGCGAGAGACUUCCAGAAAGAGGGCCUGGGGAGAGACUUCCAGAAAGAGGGCCAGGGGAGAGACUUCCAGAAAGAGGGCCAGGGGAGAGACUUCC
rnacentral:lncRNA from 1 species